UUUCUGAACUGAAUCUUGGCAUGGAGAUC
rnacentral:piRNA from 1 species